CGAAAGUGAGGUUUCUAGGGCCGGUGCUGGCUCCCGCGGGCGGGCAGUUUCUCGGUGCUUGGGACAGGCAGCAGAGGAGCGGCUCCGGCUGGGUGGGAAGCCAGUGCGGAAGCACGAUCCAGACACCUUGUUAGCUGGAGCCCGGGACCACCAGGGGGUUGCUGCAGUACAAUUGCUUUCCAGUGAGAGCCCAAUUGCUUUCCAGGGGGUUGAAGUACAAGGUGAUGGAAACUCAUGGCAGAGGCUGUGGUAUGAAUCCGUAGGUUGGGCAGAGGAUCCUAUUGAGAGGACACUAACAUCGAGUUACUGAAAAGCAAAGUGGCCAGCAGGCAGCUAAGAUUGCAAGAGAAUUGUGUUGACAGAAACAUGAAGCCUUGCAAACAAAGGCCUAUGAUUGCCUAAUUCCAAAACUAACUUUAUGAAGGAAGACAGCAAUUUGUGAUUACUUCCUAACUGCCAAAUCAUUAGCCUUUCUGCUCUUUGCCUGACUUGUGAAAUUUGACAAUUGUUGCAGUUUACAAGGAGAUCCCAAUAAACUAAUUCCCCUCUUGGCUAGGUUCUGAACAAUUUGGGAAAUAAAGCAAAGGGUAGAAAUGGAAGCUAAAAUAUCACUUCAUUACUAAUAAAACUAAGUUGGUUGAUGUUGCUUUGUAUGAAAACCAAAUAGGCCUGUCAAUUCAUUCUCAGGAUUAGACAGGUUUAUACCUCCAGUUCCUAGCAACACUUGACAAGGACAGCAUGGAGGAUCAAAUGAGAAUUCAGUCUCUAGACAAUCUUCUUGGAGGCUGGAGGACAAAGCUAAACUAGACAUUCUUCACAAAUUUCCUAAUAUAAGUUUAUCGAUCUCUCCAAGUACAGAGAAAGACCUCAAACUAGUUGAGACCUUUCUGUGUUAGCUUUCUCUGUUAGGGUAGUGGGCCAAAUCCUACUUGAAACCUACCUUUAGUUUCUGUAAUAAACUCCUAGUUGUUUUAUCUCUCUAAUCAUUCCUACUUAGUUUUCUUUAUAUGCUUUUUUAUUCUAGUAUCUGGCUCUUAACUAUUAAAAGUUCCCCAUAAUUCAGACCAUUGUUCUGUUUCUACUUUAUAUAUUUUCCCUAAGGAAUCUCAUUUAGGGUCACAAUUUCACUUAUCAUGUUGAAGGAUAAUGAAUUUAUAACCCAUAUAUCUACCCCACAUAGAUCCAAGAUUACCAAAGGAAAUACCAUGUUUAAGCUAAUGUUUUCUUAACCUUAUCUUCACCCUAAAAAAAAAAAUCUAAGAUCAUCAAAUCCUGUUCUUUCUGUCUUAUGUUGUAUUACUUUCUCUGUUCUCACAGACAUUGCCUUAAUUUGGCUUUACCAUCUUUCACCCAUAUUAUACCAUCUUUCACCCAUAUUAAGCAAUAGUAUUAAUCUGUGCCUCUGAUCUUAUUCUACUCCAUUUUGUUCCAUAUUGCCACAUAACUUCUCUACCUUGUAAAAACAAUGUAUUUCCAUCUGCAAAAACAAUACAUGUUCAUUGUAGAACAUUAAGAAAAUACAGGAAAACACUCAGCAGAAUAUAUAAUUCCAUCAGCUAGAGAUAGCCACUGAUGACAUUUUAAUACAGACAUUUUCAGUGUUUUCUAUGUAUUUUAAAAUGAGAGUGCUGCUGCUGCUGCUUUUUACCAUGCUUUUAAAAAAUAUGUGAGCAUAUUAUCAUGGCAUUAAAUAUCCUCAAUAAUAGCAUUUGUUUUGCAGAUAUAAUGAAUAUAUCAAUUUAUUUAAGACAAGCAGUACAAUCUGGCAGCCUAUAACUAAAACUGGUAUAUGGACAUGGCUAUAUUUUAUCAUCAUAGCAUUUCAAAAUUAUUUGAAGGUUGCAUGCUUUUAUAUAAGAUCAACUCUCUUCAAUUCCUUAUGGUUUCCAGAAUUCCACAAACUCAUAUUGUCUUAUGUCCAGUGCAUUCCCUCAUUUUUGUCACCUGGUUUAUUUCAUUGUUGUCGCGUUUACAUGUUUUUUUGUUUGUUUGCUUUUGUUUGGGGGGAGGGGAGUUACAUUUGAGUUGAAAAGGGCCAAAUAGGAAAUAGUUAAACAGAGGACCAGAUGGAUGACAAUCUAACUCAAAUACUGAUUAACUACUGGCCACUUUGGUAGAACAUAGUUGAUACAUAAUUCAUAAUCAAUUAAAUAUUGUUGAAUAAUAAAUAUAUUUUAAAUUUAA